CGGAGGAGCUAGCGUUAUUCGGAAUUACUGGGCGUAAAGACGCACGUAGGCGGCUUUGUAAGUUAGAGGUGAAGCCCGGAGCUCAACUCCGGAACUGCCUUUAAGACUGCAUCGCUUGAAUCCAGGAGAGGUGAGUGGAAUUCCGAGUGUAGAGGUGAAAUUCGUAGAUAUUCGGAAGAACACCAGUGGCGAAGGCGGCUCACUGGACUGGUAUUGACGCUGAGGUGCGAAAGCGUGGGGAGCAAACAGGAUU
rnacentral:rRNA from 1 species